UUUAAGUUGUUGCGGUUAAAAAGCUCGUAGUUGGAUUUUGGGCGCAGGCGGCCGGUCCGUCGCAAGGCGUGUACUGGCCGUCCUGGCCUCACCUCCGGUUCUCCGCCGGUGCCCUUGACUGAGUGUCGGCGGCGGCCGGAACGUUUACUUUGAAAAAAUUAGAGUGUUCAAAGCAGGCGAUUCGCCUGAAUAAUGGUGCAUGGAAUAAUGGAAUAGGACCUCGGUUCUAUUUUGUUGGUUUUCGGAGCGCGAGGUAAUGAUUAAGAGGGACAGACGGGGGCAUUCGUACUGUGCCGUUAGAGGUGAAAUUCUUGGAUCGGCGCAAGACGAACGACUGCGAAAGCAUUUGCCAAGAAUGUUUUCUUUAAUCAAGAGCGAAAGUCAGAGGUUCGAAGACGAUCAGAUACCGUCCUAGUUCUGACUAUAAACGAUGCCAACUAGCGAUCGGGGGGCGUUAGUUUUACGACCUCUCCGGCAGCUUGCGGGAAACCAAAGUCUUUGGGUUCCGGGGGAAGUAUGGUUGCAAAGCUGAAACUUAAAGGAAUUGACGGAAGGGCACCACCAGGAGUGGAGCCUGCGGCUUAAUUUGACUCAACACGGGAAAUCUCACCCGGCCCGGACACAGUGAGGAUUGACAGAUUGAGAGCUCUUUCUUGAUUCUGUGGGUGGUGGUGCAUGGCCGUUCUUAGUUGGUGGAGCGAUUUGUCUGGUUAAUUCCGAUAACGAACGAGACUCUGGCUUGCUAACUAGUUACGCGACCCAAUCGGUCGGCGUCUAACUUCUUAGAGGGACUAGUGGCGUUUAGCCACACGAGAUUGAGCAAUAACAGGUCUGUGAUGCCCUUAGAUGUUCGGGGCCGCACGCGCGCUACACUGACCGGAUCAGCAUGUGCUCGCCUUGGCCGACAGGUCUGGGUAACCCGCUGAACCCCGGUCGUGCUAGGGAUAGGGAAUUGCAAUUAUUUCCCUUGAACGAGGAAUUCCCAGUAAGCGCGAGUCA
rnacentral:rRNA from 1 species